UCGAACGCAACCUUCGGGUUGAGUGGCGGACGGGUGAGUAACGCGUGAGAAUCUGCCUUGGGGUCGGGGACAACCACUGGAAACGGUGGCUAAUACCGGAUAAGCCUUCGGGUAAAAGAUUUAUUGCCCCAAGAGGAGCUCGCGUCUGAUUAGCUAGUUGGUAGGGUAAAAGCCUACCAAGGCAGCGAUCAGUAGCUGGUCUGAGAGGACGAUCAGCCACACUGGGACUGAGACACGGCCCAGACUCCUACGGGAGGCAGCAGUGGGGAAUUUUCCGCAAUGGGCGAAAGCCUGACGGAGCAAGACCGCGUGAGGGAGGAAGGCUCUUGGGUUGUAAACCUCUUUUCUCAGGGAAGAAGCUCUGACGGUACCUGAGGAAUCAGCCUCGGCUAACUCCGUGCCAGCAGCCGCGGUAAUACGGAGGAGGCAAGCGUUAUCCGGAAUUAUUGGGCGUAAAGCGUCCGCAGGUGGCGAUUCAAGUCUGCUGUCAAAGCACGGGGCUUAACUCCGUUAAGGCAGUGGAAACUGAAUGGCUAGAGUGCCGUAGGGGUAGAGGGAAUUCCCGGUGUAGCGGUGAAAUGCGUAGAGAUCGGGAAGAACAUCGGUGGCGAAAGCGCUCUACUGGACGGCAACUGACACUCAUGGACGAAAGCUAGGGGAGCGAAUGGGAUUAGAUACCCCAGUAGUCCUAGCUGUAAACGAUGGAUACUAGUGUAGCUUGUAUCGACCCGAGC
rnacentral:rRNA from 1 species